UACGUAGGGGGCAAGCGUUGUCCGGAAUCACUGGGCGUAAAGCGCACGUAGGCGGCUUUUUAAGUCAGGGGUGAAAUCCUGGAGCUCAACUCCAGAACUGCCUUUGAUACUGAGAAGCUCGAGUUCGGGAGAGGUGAGUGGAACUGCGAGUGUAGAGGUGAAAUUCGUAGAUAUUCGCAAGAACACCAGUGGCGAAGGCGGCUCACUGGCCCGGUACUGACGCUGAGGUGCGAAAGCGUGGGGAGCAAACAGG
rnacentral:rRNA from 1 species